rnacentral:rRNA from 1 species
UGACGUCAAGUCCUCAUGGCCCUUACCAUCCCGGGCUACACACGUGCUACAAUGGCAGGUACAGAGGGCUGCGAAGCCGCGAGGUGGAGCGAAUCCCAGAAAACCUGUCUCAGUCCGGAUUGAAGUCUGCAACUCGACUUCAUGAAGGCGGAAUCGCUAGUAACCGCGAAUCAGCAGGUCGCGGUGAAUACGUUCCCGGGCCUU